AUGAGUGACAGACAGAAGGGUUUGACGAAUGUUGUGAAGAAAGUUUUCCCUGAUUCAGAACAUAGGAACUGUGUUAGGCACAUUUACCAAAAUUUCCACAAAGUACACCAGGGUGAACAACUGAAGAAUGACCUCUGGGCCAUAGCAAGAUCCACUAAUGAAGCUGCCUACACCAGAAACAUGGAUAAGAUGAGAGAUCACAGCUUUGCAGCAUUCAAUUGGGUUGAGAACUUGUCCCCAAGAACUUGGAUCAAAGCUUUCUUUGACCCUUUCUGCAAGUGUGAUAUAUUGCUGAAUAACAUGUGUGAGGUGUUUAACAGCUACAUUUUGGAUGGUAGAGAGUUGCCAAUUAAAUCAAUGCUGGAUUACAUCUUCUGGAAGAUUUCAAAUAGGAUGGUUGGUAAGCAAAGGGAGGCAGAAAAGUGGACAGGCAGGCUUUGCCCCAAGAUACAGAAGAAGCUGGACAAGUAUGUUGAGUGGGCAAAAAAUUGCAGGGUGAGGGAGUAUGGAAGAGGUGUAUUCCAGGUUAUCUCAUUAAACAACACUUACAUUGUUGAUCUGAACAUGUUGAGCUGUAACUGCAAAAGGUGGGAAUUGUCUGGUAUACCUUGUCAUCAUGCAAUUGCUUGUUUUAGGCAUGAGAGAAUUGAGCCUGAGAGCAUGGUCCAUUCAUGCUACACUGUUGAGGAGUACAAGAAGUGUUAUGGAUUCAAUAUGAGGCCAAUGAGGGAUCCAGAGGAAUGGGAAAAGAUGCAUGGCAAUCCUGUUUUUCCACCCAUAUACACCAAAGUAAUGGGCAUGCCCAAGAAAAGUAGGAAAAAAGAUCCAGAGGAGAAGAAGGAUAAGAAAGGAGUUAGGAAGUUGACCAAGCAUGGUGUUAGCAUGCAUUGCUCUGUUUGUGGGGGCGCUGAUCAUAACAAGAAAGGGCAUUACAAACACGUGAAUCAACCACCUACCGAGGAAGCACCUGGGGAAUCAGAAGAAGAAUAUGAUGAUCCAAGCAUAAUUGCUAACAUUAUGCCACACAGAGUUUACCCACAGUUUGAUCCAACACAAACUCCAGAUUCUAUGGUUUACAAGAUGCUGGAAAGGGAAAAAUUUACAUACCCUGCACCUAUGGACUUUGGUCCCCUGCCUGAGUCUAGCUUUAUUGCUAAUGCUAGGGACACAAUCCCUAUAGGCAGGGUGACAACAGCCAUGUCCAGGGGCAGGGUGAGAGAAGGAACAAGUGGAAGCAAUGCAACAAGAGGAGGAAGAAGUGCAAGAAAUGCAACAAGGGGUGGUAGAAGUGGUACCAAUGCAAGAAGGGGAGGAAGAAGUGCAAGCAAUGCAACAAGGGGAGGCAGAAUAGUAAGCAAUGCAACAAGGGGAGGAACUGCUUCAAGUGCAACUAGAGGUGGCAAUUACCCAAGUGGAAGUAAUCCUCCCAGAGGAGCAAGGGCUGCUGCUCCAGGAUUCUACAACUUGCUUUUUGGAAAUGAUGGACAAAGCAGCCAGCAACCACCACUUUUUAUGCAGGGAGAAGAAGAGGUACUUGUGAGCCAAAAUGCACCCCAAGAUGGCCUGUUUGGAGAUGGCUGGCCUCAGGACAUGCAUGAUUUCCUAUCUCUGUAG
rnacentral:rRNA from 1 species